AGCAGGAUCAAUAACGGAAAUUCGUGGUGGGUCUUUGUGCUGUUUUCUCUCUCUGAGAGAGAUUCGCUUUUUGACCCCCCGUUUAACCAAAACCUUUUUGGAGUGACGCCCAUGAAAUACCGGCCGACCGCGCGAAGCCGGGAGUCAGCCCUUUGGGCUUUCGAGCCCUUUGGGAAAACAACAAACCAUUUUUUUACACCGCGUAACGGUGGAUCUCUUGGUUCGUGCCUCGAUGAAAACCGCAUCCAAGCGCGAUAGUUAUGGUGAAUCGCAGAGAACCGCGAGCCAGAAAACUGUUGAAUGCACGCUGCGGCCCUGGGAACUUCCAUUCCCUGGGUCACACAUUUCCGAGUGUCGGUUUUUCAACUCCGACAAAAAGGUAACACCUGAGUGGUGUUUUUGCCUACACCAACUGGUGAAGCAAGCUGCGAAAUAGCCCCCCGAACUUGCAUGUAUUUGCUUGUUUUGGGGGGCUUUCGUUUGACAGAUUGCGGCUGACCUUUUGCUUGUUUUGACCUUUUCGUGUGUCUUGAUGUGUUCAACGUGUAAAAAGCCUUGACAUGUCCCACGAAAACCAAAAAAGGACAAAACCAAAAAUGGUUGCCGGAUUGCAAUCCAACAAACAAACAAAAUUUGUAUUUACGUACAAUUUUUGUUUGUUUGUUUUUCAAGACCUCGGGAAUGUGAGAUCACGCCCGGAACUUAAGCAUAUCAUUAAGGGCAGGACAAGAAAGCAACCGCGAUUCCAUUAGUAACUGCGAGUGAACAUGGAAACACGCAAGUGAGCCCAUCCACAAGACCUUGCGGCAGAGGGAAACCAAAGCCGCAGUACUGCAAGGUUUGGAUGUUUCGGCGAUCCUGAGGUUUUUAGCCCCAGCAAGUUGCCUGGAACGGCACGCCAUGGAGGGUGACAGCCCCGUUCGGCUGGGCGACCAAGGGAAACAAAGCUGAAGCGUUCCGAGAGUCGGACUGUUUGAGACUGCAGUCUGAACCGGGAGAUAUGCCUCUCCCAAGGCUAAACAUUGGCACGAGACCGAUAGCGAACAAGUAGAAUGAUCGAAAGAUGCAAAGCACUCUGCAAAGAGAGUGAAAAGUACGUGAAACCGUUACGUUGCAGCGUAACGACAUCCAUCCGUUUGAAAGCCCCCGGCUGCCUUCGGGCGGUCAAGCGACGGGGGAUUUUGGGCAGCACCAAUCAGGAUUGCCGCACGGCGGUGUGGAGCAUGUCAGGUUGCCUUCGGGCGGCUUGGCCUCCACGCUGGUCUCUGGACGGUCCUGAUUCGAAACCUCUUCCAGGGCAACGCAACAGGUUUUUGCCACCACGUUUGGGUGCGGUCGCAGCGCCGCUGGCUUUUUAACCAACUGCCAGUGACCUGAGGCUGUGCCACGAUGUGUCGAGCGGCUUGUGCGGAUGCUUUGGUAACGUAUGCUGCUUUGAAUGGUGUCGUUACACCCGUCUUGAAACACGGACCAAGGAGUCUACUGCAUGCGCGAGCAUUAUGGUGAUAGAAACCAUCAAUGCACAAUGAAAGUGAACGGUGGGCUUGUUCCUACCUUUGUGUGGCGAAGCCGCAAGGCUGCAGUCACGGCCGCGCCCAGGGAGCAGGGACGCGAGUCAAAGUGCAUCCAGUGGGACCCGAAAGAAGGUGAACUUUUCCCGAACAGGGCGAAGCCGGGAGAAAUUCCGGUGGAGGCUCGUAGCAGUGCUGACGUACAAAUCGCUUGCCAAAUUCGGGUAAAGGGGCGAAAGACUCAUCGAACUUUCUAGUAGCUGGUUCCCUC
rnacentral:misc_RNA from 1 species